rnacentral:rRNA from 1 species
UACGUAGGGUGCAAGCGUUGUCCGGAAUUAUUGGGCGUAAAGAGCGUGUAGGCGGCCCGAUAAGUCCGCCGUGAAAGUCCAGGGCUCAACCCUGGAAAGCCGGUGGAUACUGUCGGGCUCGAGUCCGGAAGAGGCGAGUGGAAUUCCUGGUGUAGCGGUGGAAUGCGCAGAUAUCAGGAGGAACACCAAUGGCGAAGGCAGCUCGCUGGGACGGUACUGACGCUGAGGCGCGAAAGCGUGGGGAGCAAACAGG